GACGAAGGGGGCUAGCGUUGUUCGGAAUUACUGGGCGUAAAGCGCGUGUAGGCGGUUGCCAAAGUCGGGUGUGAAAGCCUUGAGCUCAACUCAAGAAUUGCACUCGAUACUUGGUGACUAGAGGACCGGAGAGGAUAGUGGAAUUCCCAGUGUAGUGGUGAAAUACGUAGAGAUUGGGAAGAACACCAGUGGCGAAGGCGGGUCUCUGGACAGUUCCUGACGCUGAGGCACGAAGGCCAGGGGGAGCAAACGGG
rnacentral:rRNA from 1 species